CUGACUUUGGACAGGACUUGACGUAUGAUAAUGUUCUCUCUGAUUCCAGACAAGAGGAAGUAUGUACACCUUGCAUCUGCAAGUACCAGGAAUGUAAAUCUCAAAUAUGUGGGGAGACGAAAUUGUAUGUUGCUCUGGUUACCAAUUCGAUGUAAAAUCAAAAGAAUGUAAAGGAUGUGCUGCAGGCUAUUUUGGAAUCAACUGCUCAGAACAAUGUCCAUAUCCUAAGUACGGCGAUCGAUGCCGACAUCACUGUGACUGCGGAAUUGACACUUGUGACAAGACCAACGGCUGCCUGUCAAUAAGUACAAUGGGACCGGUUUUGAAUUUUUCCCACAAAUAUAUUUCAUAAGAAGCAAACGCCACAUUGUUUCCAUCUCAUCAACAAGGUAUUACAUCCAAACCACAGAAUUCAACGUCUGCGUAUGGUGGCAUCUACAGAAGAUUCUUCACACCCGAAAUAGUACGAUCAAAAGAGCAGAAAUUUUUUGACAGAGAGAUGUCAGCCAUUACGUUUGUUUUGUGUUGCGUUAUUGUUAUUUAUAUUCUUAUUAAAGUUCUUAUCAAGACGUGCACGGUAUUUAAACGUGCUAAACAGGAUAGCAUUAAUCUGGAACAAAUGAAACAUGAACACUAUCAUGAAUUAGAUGAAGACAUGCUGUGUAAACAACAUAAUCAGCGCCUACAAACCCCUUUAUAUAACGGCCCAGCUGAUGCAAAUAUCGUAUUUGAUGACACGCAACAUAAAUAUUUUAUUGAGCUCACUAUGAUGUCUCAUCCGCAACAACACGUAAAGGAAUCACAUCCUUUCCCUACAGUUGAUAUUCAAACAACGUCUGUAGUUGGUUUGCGGUCGGAUUCUUCCUCUGUGAAUGACUAUCUCUCACCUCGAACCAUCACAUUAAAUCAGGAGUCCUUUACGUCUGAUAGUGCAAAUCCACAGUUACAUGAUAUUAGAAGUAAUGAACAUGUCACUGAUUAUCCCAUGGAAGGCCCUUAUCUAACUGUUUUAAGAGAUUGAUAUGUACAUUGCUAACAUAUAACUACAUAUGUACUUGUCAACAACUCGGAGACAUAGGGAUAUAUUUGAUUUAUUAAUUUUGAUUUAGCUGAUUGGCUCUGAAUAAUUGAUUGAUUGAUAUUAAACAUGGCAGAUACAUG